GACAUAUGAUAUUGCAGAACCCCCGAUUAAUGAUAUUAACCAUUUUUGAGGGGUGAUGGCUGAUGUUGAAGUCGAUCAAUGGUGAUAAAUUUUACACAAUAAAUUUUACUCAGCCAGAAGUGAACGCAGUUACAGGUGUAGCAAAGAGGCAUUUGGGUUGUUUUCGAAGAUCCUUUUUUGAGAAAAAAAGGUUGUGCUAAAGUUAUACCUGUUGUCUAUGAACAUUCAUGGCAUUGUUAAAGGUUGAAGGUCAAGUAGCAGACAAAUGGGUGGUGAUGGCAUCCCCUUCAUAUUCAUCUGUUCCUGGAGGACUGCUAGUUGCUAGCUGCUUACUAGAUUUGCCUCAAUAUCCAUCACAGAAAGUUCUUGUGGUGCUAAAGGAUGACACUGAGCAUCACAUCAUUAUUCCAGGUAAGAGUUUUCAUAGCCAAUAUUCAUGUUCUGCAGAAAGUGAUGUCAAGUAAGAAUGUCCAACCUGAUGGUGCAGGAGGUUAUGGGCUAUGCCUGCAGUUUUUGCUUCACAUGAUCUUGAUGUUGGUCGGACUGACAAGGUUAAACACAAUAUCAAAUUGCAUGAUAACAAUCCUUUCAAGCACAGGGCUAGACCCAUACAUGCAGAUGAUUUUGAAGGCAUCCGUCGGCAUCUAAAAGAAUUACUUGAAGCCAGUAUAAUCCGUGAAUCUGAGUCAUCCGCUUCUUCACUGAUUAUGGUUGUCAAAAAGAAAAAUGGUGAUAUAGGACUUUGUAUUGAUUACCGCAAGUUGAACAUGCAGACAAAUAGGGACGCAUAUGCAUUGCCCAAUCUGGAAGAAGCUUUCUCAGCACUUCAGGGUUCAUAGUGGUUCUCUGCGCUCAAUCUCAAAUCUCGAUAUUACCAGAUUGAAGCUGAAGAAAGAGACAAACACAAGACUGCUUUUUUAUGCCCUUUGGUGUUCUGGGAGUUCAACCGAAUGCCCCAAGGCAUUACCGAUGCUCCCAGCAAAUUCAAAAGGCAUAUGGAGAAAUGCAUGGGUGCCAUCAAUCUUACCGCAGUCCUGGUAUUUUUUUUUAUGACUUUACUGUGUUUUCUGAAACAUUGGAAGAACUUGAAAACCAUCUUCUUUGUGUCCUAAAUCAUCUGAAAGACUAUAGGUUGAUGGACAGCAAAUUGUCAACAGGCUUUUGACACACUUAUCGAGAAGCUCACCAUGGCACCAGUACUAGGGUUUGCGGACCCUAAGUUGCCAUAUGAGGUGCACAUUGAUUCAGGCACCACCAGUUUAGGCACAGAGCUUUAUCAUGAACAGGGAGGGACUCUAUGAGUGAUUGCCUUUGCUAGUCAUGGCCUGUCAAAGAUUGAAGCCUGGUAUCCUGUCAGCAAGCUUGAGUUUUUAUUACUGAAGUGGGCUGUAACUGAAAAAGUUUGUGACUAGUAGCAGUUUCAAAGUGGUUAUAGACAGCAAUCCUCUAACUUAUGUCAUCAGCUAAGUUGGAUGCAACAAGCUACAGCUAGAUAUCUGCCCUAUCUACUUUCUCUUUCAUGCUCCAAUACUGCCUGGAGAAAAGCAAUCUGGAUGUGGAUGGACUUUUCUAGAUGCCCCCACAGUGCACUUGAUGAUUUAGCAUCUAGGAAAGAGCAAGAACUCCAGUUCACAUUGAAGGGUGGUUACUCCAUCUACCUACAGUUGUGGUCCAGGGAAACUGUGACAAACACACAGUAAACCCAGCCAAUGAUGACAAUUGCAUUCCCUUCACUGAAUCUCCAUCUGCCCUCUAUCUAUCUCUAUGUGCCCAGAGUUAAUCCCUGAGGGUUACAAGCAUUUUGAGGGAUCUCUGAUUGUUUUUGUAUGUCAAAACAAGAACUAAGAGAAAAGCAGAGAACUGAUCAAGCAAUACAAGAAAUAAUAAUUCAGAUGGAGUCAGGAGGAUCAUAUUGAGAUAAGAACUAGCAAAACUCCCUUCCUUGUUGAGAGAAUGGAAGAAAUUGGAGCUGAGGAAUGGCAUUCUUUAGCAGAAGAAUACAUUUACAAACUUGUUCUCCCACAAAAGCUAAGAUCUAUGGUUAUGGAAUGGGCCACUUGGGAAUAGUAGAGAAUAGUACGGACCCUUGAUCUCAUGAGGGCCCAUUUCUAAUGGUCCAGGAUGGCUAUCGAAGUUGAAAAUAAGGUAAAGACUUGCAGCCACUGUUUGUGUAGAAAGGCUCUACCAGAGAAAGCAGCUACACCAGUGAACAUUCAUGUCACUAGACUGUUUGAGCUGGUGUGUAUGGACAAACAGGCAGUGAGUCAGGUGAGGUGCAAACAGUGUAUCUAAGGUCCAGGCAAAAAUCCAGAAACAAGAUAAGACGCAAGGGUCAAAACUAGAAACAACAAACACGAUUAGAAGGGUUCGUUCUUCAGUUGAAUAAGCUGAACAAAUACUUCGGGAAGUGAAGGUUUGGUGAGGGUGCUUAUAUUUGUGUGCAGGUGAUUGAGUCCAGGUGUGUGCAAUCAAGAAUCGGGUGACUGUGAAAGUGACAAUGAAUAUAUGAUGUGGGUGUUGUAAUCCAAGGUGUCCAUGUUUGUAAACAGAGGUGCAUUGUAGCAAGUGGAGUUCAGUGCAGAAUCUGGUGUGGACAUGGCAGAACCCCACCCAUCCCACUUCCCCUCGAGGAGCUAACUCUGAGAGCAGAGUUCUUUGGCAAUGAGGCAAUUAGGUACUGCAGCUUGCCCUCCAAGCACUGGGAAUCGAGGAUUGCUCUGACUAGGUACACUGGUUGUGCUUUGAUUUCCAGAGGUUCAGGUGGGGUUGUCGAGGGAUUCCCUCCACCAGGGCAACUUGGAUGGCUUAUUUGAGGUGGGAUAUGUGAAAGGAUGUUUUUGUAUUUUUUGUAUUUUUGAAAAAGAGUGCUUUGUGUUGUGAAAUACAGAGUGUAAUUUGGUGGUUGGUGUGUGUACAAAUCUGCUUUGUGUGUGUUUCAUUUUGACUGGAUUAUUUGGCUAUGAGGCAUGUGUGUAGAGUUUUUACAUGAAAAGUGAGUUUUUUCCUUUAAGAUUUUCAGAAUAGUGUGUGUGAUUUGUUUUUCUAGUUGUAGGAAAUGUGUGUAAUGUUUGGGGAAAUGUGUGUAACCAAUUGGGGAAAACUGUAACAUGCUGUUAGCUUCCACUGCUAGGCUGAUGACACACAGCUGUAUGUUUCAGCAAAGCCAGCUUCAUAAUAUAAACUUACUGUAAAUUAAUGUUUUAAUUAAUUAAUAAAUUAAUUAAUUUAUCAAAUUUAUCCUGUAGUGGAGAAACGAGGAUUUUUGCUCUUAUAGAGAGUGUGCAUUUGUGUGUGUGUAUGUGUUUGUGUGUUCUACUCCACAGUGUGUGUCAUUGUGCUGUAUCACAUCGUCCCCCUCAGCACCUGCAGUAGUUCCCAGCUGCAGCAGUCACACUCACCCAGGUUUUUGUAUGACGCUCUAACACUGUGUGAACAUCUGUCUACUACUGAUCGUAUGUAUACUCUGACAGUAAUAAUCUCCAGCAUCUUCAGUCUGGACUCCACUGAUGGUCAGAGUGAAAUCAGAUCCAGAUCCACUGCCACUGAAACGAGCUGGAAUACCUGAUGCUCUACUGCUAGCCGCAUAGAUCAGGAGUUUAGGAGCUUCUCCAGCUUUCUGUUGAUACCAGAACAAACAGUUACCACCACAGCCAGCAUCAACAGCAGGACUGGUUUUACAGCUGAUGGUGACUGUGUCUUCUGGAGAAACAGAUUUCACUGCAGGACUCUGAGUCACAGUCACCUGACCUCUGGAUCCUGAAAAAAAUAAGAAGAAUAAAUCCGUUCCCUACAUUAAUAAUGAUGUUGAGUUUGAAGUUCAUCUAGUCAGCCUACUUCACAUGGAUUUGUCAGCUGAACAGUAGAAGAUAAAACAUUGUGUUACCUCGAGCGCAGAGGGUCAGUGUGCAGAUGAAGACGCUGAUCAAACUCAUGGUUGCUGUGGGUGAAGUCGCUGAGCAGCAGCUCUCAGUCAUGAAGUGUUAAAGUCACAGGGCUAUAAACACUCGCAGAGCGCUGAAGCAUGAGCUGCUAAUGCAAAGUGGAACCUCUCUCAAUGGAAACGUGUGUGUGUGUGUUUGUCUGUGUGUGGUCACUGUAGUGUAAAAGAGGUUUUUGUAUGACGGCUUCAUUAGAAUGUAUCACUGUGGUGGACUUUCGGUGGAGGAACCAAACUCAUCAUCACCGGUCCCGCGGUGAAGCCCUCCGUGUCUCUGCUCCCUCCCUCCUCUCUGCAGCUGUCUGAGGGAUCGGCCUCGCUGCUCUGCCUGCUGUCUGCCUACUCUCCACAGGGGGCGCUGGUGAGCUGGACAGUGGACGGCUCCCAGGUGAAGGAUGGGGUUCUGACCAGCGCAGAAGAACAGAAGAAGGACGGUUACACACGCAGCAGCACCCUGACCCUCAGCAAAGCACUCUGGGAAAAGGGGGAGGAGUUUGUCUGUACGGUCUCCCAUGCCGGCGUCAAUCAUCCGGUCACGUUCAGAAAGAGCCAGUGUGACGCCUAACAGCUCCAAGAUAGAAUUUAACACUGAGCUGCUUACACAUCCAUCUACAAUAGAGUUUCAGUUCUACACAAUGCUGACAUUUCUGUCUUUACUCUCUUCACUGUCCUGUUGCUCUUCCUGUAGUUUUGCUCUGCUGAAAUAAAGCUUCAUUUUGGA